UACAAAAAAUAUUUAGUCAGAUAUUCGGAUCCAACUGACCUUUCACGGUCAAGGUGGCGACGGUCUCCGCCGAGCCAACCGAAUUGAAUGCCUUGCACACGAACUGUGCCGAAUCCUCGGCGAAAGUUUCUUCGAUGAUAACUUCGGGGACGGGAAAUCCGAUCAGUCGACAUUCGAAGGUCAGUCUCUCGCCUUCCUGGAUCGUUGCGUUGUUCAAAGGAACUAUGAACUGUGGUGGGAUCGGUUCCGGAACGUCUUCUUCGACCUUCGGUACCUUUGCUGGACUAGUUUCUCUUUGCGGGGUUGCGGCCCGAGGGGGCAAAGGUAUGGCUUGCUGAAGUUCGGUCUGAAAAAAUCCGAACGAAAAAAUGAAUCCUCAUUCGCAUAGA